rnacentral:lncRNA from 1 species
CUUCUAUCAGGCUACUUAAUAAAGGACGAUUCUAGUAAAUAUUAUUUCAGCCAUAGUUCUGUAAGAGAUUGGUUGCAAGACGAAGAGUCAGAUUUCUUUUGCGAUGUACUCAACGGGCACUCCAUUAUGGCAAACUAUAACUUGAAAACUCUUAAAGUUAAGUAUCCUUCACCCGGCGAUUUUUUUGAAAAUGUAUGUUUAAUGUUUUCGUCCGAAACUGCCAUAUCCUACUGCUCUUCUAGACCUCAAAUUAUUUUCUUUGCGUUAUCUCUUUCAUUCCAGUGAGAGCGGGAGUUCAAAUGUGAAUGUUCUGAUAUCUGAAUUAGGUAUUAAAGCAAUCCACCUUCUUCAUGCCGCAUUUCACGAUAGUGGUGACGCUUGGGAUCAUUUCAUUUGUUCCGAGUAUAUGGCAAUGAAAGUUCUCGAUGAAACUGAUGUCUUGAAUAAAAUGACCAUACAGGAAAAAGCUGAACAUCUUGAGGUGGCUCUUGACUUGAAUUGUGCAAAAAUUACUGCCAAGUUGUUUGAUAGCCGCACAUACUGGAUUUUUAGUCGUACGGCCAUCAUUUCCUUGAACUGUGACAUCAAACUACUACAGCUCGUCCCAAAGGAAUCAAUGCCCGAGUUAUUUUUUUCGUCCCUCGUGAAUAUUUUCUUUAACGAUAAGAUAUUUGAAUUUUGUGUAAAAAAUGGAUUAACGGCGGAUGUAUGUGUUCCUCAAUUCUUUGAGAACACCAAGGGC